GCAUCGGUGGUUCAGUGGUAGAAUGCUUGCCUGCCACACGGGCGGCCCGGGUUCGAUUCCCGGCUGAUGCA
rnacentral:tRNA from 1 species